CCUANGGGUGGCAGCAGUGGGGAAUUGUUCGCAAUGGGCGCAAGCCUGACGACGCAACGCCGCGUGGAGGACGAAGAUCUUCGGAUCGUAAACUCCUGUCGAGCGGGACGAACGGCCCGGGGCCUAACAGGUUCCGGGAGUGACGGUACCGCUAAAGGAAGCCCCGGCUAACUCCGUGCCAGCAGCCGCGGUAAUACGGGGGGGCAAGCGUUGUUCGGAAUUACUGGGCGUAAAGGGCGCGUAGGCGGCCUUCUAAGUCAGACGUGAAAUCCCUCGGCUCAACCGGGGAACUGCGUCUGAUACUGGAGGGCUUGAAUCCGGGAGAGGGAUGCGGAAUUCCAGGUGUAGCGGUGAAAUGCGUAGAUAUCUGGAGGAACACCGGUGGUGAAGGCGGCAUCCUGGACCGGUAUUGACGCUGAGGCGCGAAAGCCAGGGGAGCAAACGGGAUUAGAUACCCCGNUANUC
rnacentral:rRNA from 1 species